AAAAUGCGAUAAGUAAUGUGAAUUGCAGAAUUCAGUGAAUCAUCGAAUCUUUGAACGCACAUUGCGCCCGCCAGUAUUCUGGCGGGCAUGCCUGUUCGAGCGUCAUUUCAACCCUCAAGCCCCCGGGUUUGGUGUUGGGGAUCGGGCCGCGGUUCUACCGCGUCCCGGCCCCGAAAUCUAGUGGCGGUCUCGCUGCAGCCUCCAUUGCGUAGUAGCUAACACCUCGCAACUGGAACGCGGCGCGGCCAAGCCGUUAAACCCCCAACUUCUGAAUGUUGACCUCGGAUCAGGUAGGAAUACCCGCUGAACUUAAGC
rnacentral:misc_RNA from 1 species